rnacentral:rRNA from 1 species
AGCAGCCGCGGUAAUUCCAGCUCCAAUAGCGUAUAUUAAAGUUGUUGCAGUUAAAAAGCUCGUAGUUGAACUUCGGGGUUUACCCAUUGGUCAGGCUUAAUUGUCUGUACUGGUGAGAUAAAUCUCUACCUUCUGAGGAACUUUCAUGUCAUUAAUUUGGUGUGAUUGGAAAUCAGGACUGUUACUUUGAAAAAAUUAGAGUGUUUAAAGCAGGCUAACGUCUGAAUACAUUAGCAUGGAAUAAUGAAAUAGGACGGACUGAUUCUAUUUCGUUGGUUUCUAGGAUCACCGUAAUGAUUAAUAGGGAUAGUUGGGGGCAUUAGUAUUCAAUUGUCAGAGGUGAAACUCUUGGAUUUAUUGAAGACUAACUACUGCGAAAGCAUUUGCCAAGGAUGUUUUCAUUAAUCAAGAACGAAAGUUAGGGGAUCGAAGACGAAUCAGAUACCGUCGUAGUCUUAACCAUAAACCUAUGCCGACUAGGGAUCGGACGAAGUUAUUUAUAAUGACGCGUUCGGCACCU